GUAAUGUCUGGGAAACUGCCCGAUGGAGGGGGAUAACUACUGGAAACGGUAGCUAAUACCGCAUAACGUCGCAAGACCAAAGAGGGGGACCUUCGGGCCUCUUGCCAUCGGAUGUGCCCAGAUGGGAUUAGCUAGUAGGUGGGGUAACGGCUCACCUAGGCGACGAUCCCUAGCUGGUCUGAGAGGAUGACCAGCCACACUGGAACUGAGACACGGUCCAGACUCCUACGGGAGGCAGCAGUGGGGAAUAUUGCACAAUGGGCGCAAGCCUGAUGCAGCCAUGCCGCGUGUAUGAAGAAGGCCUUCGGGUUGUAAAGUACUUUCAGCGAGGAGGAAGGCGUUGAGGUUAAUAACCUCAGCGAUUGACGUUACUCGCAGAAGAAGCACCGGCUAACUCCGUGCCAGCAGCCGCGGUAAUACGGAGGGUGCAAGCGUUAAUCGGAAUUACUGGGCGUAAAGCGCACGCAGGCGGUCUGUCAAGUCGGAUGUGAAAUCCCCGGGCUCAACCUGGGAACUGCAUCCGAAACUGGCAGGCUAGAGUACUAAUGGG
rnacentral:rRNA from 1 species